UCUAUAUUCCCUUGAGUUGGUCCUCCCCACUCCAAAUUUGAAUUCCCCUGCACUGCUCUCCAACCAGUAUCUGUAGUUUCUGACACUGCUCUCCCAUCAUUAUCCGUGGCAGCCACGUUCCAACUUGCCAUGGAUGGCGCAGGAGGCUGGACAUCUGAACCAGCUUCCCAUUGGUUAACUGGAACGUCAGUGGAUGGUGCAGGAGGCUGGAUAUCUGAACCUGCCUCCCAUUGGUUGACAGAACCAUCACUGGGCUUCUUUUCCACCUCCACCUUAUCAUUAGAAGAGGAAUGCCCCACAGACUUCUUAUCAGGAUCAAGAACAUCAGUAUGAGAUGCCCCACAAGGUU
rnacentral:lncRNA from 1 species